rnacentral:rRNA from 1 species
GACGAACGCUGGCGGCGUGCCUAAUACAUGCAAGUUGAGCGCCGAAGGUUGGUACUUGUACCAACUGGAUGAGCAGCGAACGGGUGAGUAACGCGUGGGGAAUCUGCCUUUGAGCGGGGGACAACAUUUGGAAACGAAUGCUAAUACCGCAUAAAAACUUUAAACACAAGUUUUAAGUUUGAAAGAUGCAAUUGCAUCACUCAAAGAUGAUCCCGCGUUGUAUUAGCUAGUUGGUGAGGUAAAGGCUCACCAAGGCGAUGAUACAUAGCCGACCUGAGAGGGUGAUCGGCCACAUUGGGACUGAGACACGGCCCAAACUCCUACGGGAGGCAGCAGUAGGGAAUCUUCGGCAAUGGACGAAAGUCUGACCGAGCAACGCCGCGUGAGUGAAGAAGGUUGUCGGAUCGUAAAACUCUGUUGGUAGAGAAGAACGUUGGUGAGAGUGGAAAGCUCAUCAAGUGACGGUAACUACCCAGAAAGGGACGGCUAACUACGUG